GUUUGUGGAUGAUGAGAAAUUCAAAAUUAACAGUUAUCCCUGUCUGAUGCAUUGGUGCUGAUAAUGUUAAAUCUGACACUUAU
rnacentral:snoRNA from 1 species